GACGAACGCUGGCGGCGUGCUUAACACAUGCAAGUCGAACGGAAAGGCCUCUUUCGGGGGGUACUCGAGUGGCGAACGGGUGAGUAACACGCGAGUAACCUGCCCUCGUCUCUGGGAUAACUUCAGGAAACAGGGGCUAUUACCGGAUAGGAGAUCUUGUGGCACGGAGGGGGUUGGAAAGAUUCGGGGGUUGGGGGUGGAUUCGCGGCGUAUCCGCUUGUUGGUGGGGUAGUGGCAUACCAAGGCUUUGACGGGUAGACGGCCCGUGGGGGUGACCGGCCGCCUUGGGGCUGAGGUACGGGCCAGACUCCGACGGGGGGCAGCAGUGGGGAAUGCUUCCCGAUGGGUGGCAGCCUGAUUCAGCAACGCCGUGGGCGGGAAGACGGCCUUCGGGUUGGAAACCGCUUUCGCUCAUUACGAAGCUUUGUGUGACGGUAGUGGGUAAAGAAGCACCGGCUAACUACGUG
rnacentral:rRNA from 1 species